rnacentral:rRNA from 1 species
CCUACGGGUGGCAGCAGUGAGGAAUAUUGGUCAAUGGGCGCGAGCCUGAACCAGCCAAGUCGCGUGAGGGAAGACGGUCCUAUGGAUUGUAAACCUCUUUUGUCGGGGAGCAAAAUGCGCCACGCGUGCCUUUCCGAGCGUACCCUAAGAAAAAGCAUCGGCUAACUCCGUGCCAGCAGCCGCGGUAAUACGGAGGAUGCGAGCGUUAUCCGGAUUUAUUGGGUUAAAAGGGUGCGCAGGCGGAAGAUAAAGUCGGCGGUGAAAUUUAGAGGCUCAACCUCGUCGAGCCGUUGAAACUGGGUGUCUUGAGUGAGUGAGAAGUAGGCGGAAUGCGUGGUGUAGCGGUGAAAUGCAUAGAUAUCACGCAGAACUCCGAUUGCGAAGGCAGCAUACCGGAGCGCAACUGACGCUCAUGCACGAAAGUGUGGGUAUCGAACAGGAUUAGAUACCCGAGUAGUC